UACGUAGGGUGCAAGCGUUUGUCCGGAAUUAUUGGGCGUAAAGAGCUCGUAGGCGGUUUGUCGCGUCUGGUGUGAAAAUCCAGGGCUUAACCCUGGACCUGCAUCGGGUACGGGCAGACUAGAGUGCGGUAGGGGAGAUCGGAAUUCCUGGUGUAGCGGUGAAAUGCGCAGAUAUCGAGGAGGAACACCGGUGGCGAAGGCGGAUCUCUGGGCCGUAACUGACGCUGAGGAGCGAAAGCAUGGGGAGCGAACAGG
rnacentral:rRNA from 1 species